UUAAUUGAAGCUAAAAAGAAGCAUUCCACUGUUAAUGGAAAAAUUGAAAAACAGAUCCAAUUAAA
rnacentral:tRNA from 1 species